rnacentral:rRNA from 1 species
CAAGAUUAGACAGGACUUAUUCAACAAUUAACGUCAUCAUCUUCAUUGUUAAAAGAAUUUUACGACCCACAGGCCUUCAUCAUUCACGCAAUAUCACUGGAUCAAAGUUUCCUUCAUUGUCCAAAAUUCCUCC